GAUGAACGCUGGCGGCGUGCCUAAUACAUGCAAGUCGAGCGAACGGACGAGAAGCUUGCUUCUCUGAUGUUAGCGGCGGACGGGUGAGUAACACGUGGAUAACCUACCUAUAAGACUGGGAUAACUUCGGGAAACCGUAGCUAAUACCGGAUAAUAUUUUGAACCGCAUGGUUCAAAAGUGAAAGACGGUCUUGCUGUCACUUAUAGAUGGAUCCGCGCUGCAUUAGCUAGUUGGUAAGGUAACGGCUUACCAAGGCAACGAUGCAUAGCCGACCUGAGAGGGUGAUCGGCCACACUGGAACUGAGACACGGUCCAGACUCCUACGGGAGGCAGCAGUAGGGAAUCUUCCGCAAUGGGCGAAAGCCUGACGGAGCAACGCCGCGUGAGUGAUGAAGGUCUUCGGAUCGUAAAACUCUGUUAUUAGGGAGGAACAUAUGUGUAAGUAACUGUGCACAUCUUGACGGUACCUAAUCAGAAAGCCACGGCUAACUACGUG
rnacentral:rRNA from 1 species